GAAAGUGCCGGUAAUACCUGAUGACAUCCACGGGUCGCAUGUCCUGGGGCUCAAAGGGUGGGGAUCUUCGGACCUACCGGCUUGGGAGCGGCCCAUGUCCUAUCAGCUUGUUGGUGAGGUAACGGCUCACCAAGGCUUCGACGGGUAGCGGGCGUGAGAGCGUGACCCGCCACAUCGGAACUGAGACACUGUCCGGACACCUACGGGUGGCUGCAGUAACGAAUAUUGGGCAAUGGGCGAAAGCCUGACGGAGCGACGCCGCGUGUAGGAGAAGCCUUUCGGGGUGUAAACUCCAAUAGUAGACUAGGAAGCAAUCCCGCCUAAUAUGCGGGGGCGUUGACCCGUCUAUGAAAGGGCCGGCUAACUCCGUGCCAGCAGCCGCGGUAAUACGGAGGAGGCAAGCGUUGUUCGGAAUCAUUGGGCUUAAAGCGCGUGUAGGCGGAUCGGUAAGUGUCUUGUGAAAGCCCUCGGCUCAACCGAGGAAUGGCUGGGCAUACUGCCGGUCUUGAGGCAGGUAGGGGCGGGUGGAACUCUAGGUGGAGCGGUGAAAUGCGUAGAUAUCUAGAGGAACGCCGGUGGCGAAAGCGACCCGCUGGGCCUGUUCUGACGCUGAGACGCGAAAGCGUAGGGAGCGAACGGGAUUAGAUACCCCGGUAGUCUACGCCGUAAACGAUGCGCACUAGGUGCAAGGGCUUCUGACGGUUCUUGGGCCGAAGCUAAAGUGAUAAGUGCGCCGCCUGGGGAGUACGGCCGCAAGGCUAAAACUCAAAGGAAUUGACGGGGGCUCACACAAGCGGUGGAGCAUGUGGAUUAAUUCGAAGCAACGCGAAGAACCCUACCCGGGUUCAAGCCUUGGGAUGCCCCCCUGGAAACAGGGUUCGGCUGCUCUUCGGAGUGAAACCUUGGUCGGUGCUGCAUGGCUGUCGUCAGCUCGUGCUGUGAAGUGUCGGGUUAAGUCCCUUAACGAGCGAAACCCCUGUCGCUAGUUGCCAGCGCGUUAUGGCGGGAACUCUAGCGAGACUGCAGGUGUCAAACCAGAGGAAGGUGGGGAUGACGUCAAGUCAUCAUGGCCUUUAUGUCCAGGGUGUCACACGUGCUACAAUGGGACGUACAGAGCGACGCGAGACCGCGAGGUGGAGCAAAUCGCAAAAAACGUUCCUCAGUUCGGAUUGGAGUCUGCAACUCGACUCCAUGAAGUUGGAAUCGCUAGUAAUCGCGUAUCAGCCAUGACGCGGUGAAUGUGUUCCUGAGCCUUGUACACACCGCCCGUCAAGUCAUGGAAGCUGGGAGCACCCGAAGUCCGGCUUGCUAACCUCGUGAAGCGGCGGCCGACGGUGAGCCUGGUGACUGGGACUAAGUCG
rnacentral:rRNA from 1 species